GCCGGGAUAGGGUAGCGGUUAUCCUGCGAGACUGUGGAUCUUGCGACUCGAGUUCAAAUCUCGGUCCCGGCC
rnacentral:tRNA from 1 species